rnacentral:rRNA from 1 species
UGUGCAGGCGGGGUGGCAAGUGGUGUAUGAAAUCUCCAGGCUUAACCUGGAGGGGUUAUGCCAGACUGCCAUUCUAGAGGACGAGAGAGGGGGUGGAAUUCCGGGUGUAGUGGUGAAAUGCGUAGAGAUCCGGAGGAACCCCCAGAGGCGAAGGCGGCCCCCUGGCUCGUACCUGACGCUCAGCCACGAAAGCAUGGGGAGCAACG